GAUGAACGCUGGCGGCGUGCUUAACACAUGCAAGUCGAACGAUGAAGCCCAGCUUGCUGGGUGGAUUAGUGGCGAACGGGUGAGUAACCCGUGAGUAACCUGCCCUUAACCCUAGGAUAAGCCUGGGAAACUGGGUCUAAUACCGGAUAGGAGCGCCUACCGCAUGGGGGGUGUUGGAAAGAUUUAUCGGUUUUGGAUGGACUGGCUGCCUAUCAGCUUGUUGGUGAGGUAAUGGCUCACCAAGGCGACGACAGGUAACCGGCCUGCGAGGGUGACCGGCCACACUGGGACUGAGACACGGCCCAGCCUCCUACGGGAGGCAGCAGUGGGGAAUAUUGCACAAUGGGCGGAAGCCUAAUGCAGCGACGCCGCGUGAGGGAUGACGGCCUUCGGGUUGUAAUGCUCUUUCAGUAGGGAAGAAGCGAAAGUGACGGUACCUGCAGAAGAAGCACCGGCUAACUACGUG
rnacentral:rRNA from 1 species